GGCUCUGUGGCGGAAUUGGUAGACGCGCACGACUCAAAAUCGUGUAUCCUUACGGGUGUGAGAGUUCGAUUCUCUCCGGAGCCACCA
rnacentral:tRNA from 1 species